UCUUGCUUCACUGUAGUAGAUAUUAUUAUUUGUAUAUAUAUAAUUAAGUUGAUUUGUAUUUGACUAUUUGUUGAUUAAAAUAUUGCAUGUCAUAAACUGGAACUUGUGGUGGGAUUUUUUGAUACACUAGCACGGGUCACUGUUGUCUGUCACGUCAAAAUUUUAUUGUGAGACGAAAUAACAUAGAAAAUCAAAUCCAUGCACAUCAGAAUGAAACUAUCAGGGCGUAAUGAGAUCAGAUCUAUUCACGAAAUACAGGUUCAUGAUACCACUCAUCCCAAAUGUUUCAACUGAUGAAAAAAGGUAAAUAAGCAGUGCAUAGUCGAUUCCUCUCCUAUCUGACACCGGAGAUAAAUCGCAAAAAUUGAUGGAAUUCGUUGCUGGAGAUUCAACAGGAUAGAAAGUCUUUCAUAGAAGAUACGCCAGAAGAAGAAUUUGAUUUUCGAGGGUAAUCUUAUUUUUCACAAAUCUUUUUAAAUAUCACUACAUUGAGCUAUAGGUGGAUAGAACUCAAUUGGUAGAUAGUGAAAAUGCUAAGUCAUUUGAUAAGCUGAUGCUACUUCAUAAUUACUAGACUUGUGAAAAAUCCAAAA